GACGAACGCUGGCGGCGUGCUUAACACAUGCAAGUCGAACGGAAAGGCCUUGCUUUUGUGGGGUGCUCGAGUGGCGAACGGGUGAGUAUCACGUGAGUAACCUCCCCUUUACUUUGGGAUAACUUCAGGAAACUGGGGCUAAUACCGGAUAGGAGCUCUUGCUGCAUGGUGGGGGUUGGAAAGUUUCGGCGGUUGGGGAUGGACUCGCGGCUUAUCAGCUUGUUGGUGGGGUAGUGGCUUACCAAGGCUUUGACGGGUAGCCGGCCUGAGAGGGUGACCGGGCACAUUGGGACUGAGAAACGGCCCAGACUGCUACGGGAGGCAGCAGUGGGAAAUAUUGCACAAUAGGCGGAAGCCUGAAGCAGCAACGCCGCGUGCGGGAUGACGGCCUUCGGGGUGUAAACCGCUUUCGCCUGUGACGAAGCGUGAGUGACGGUAAUGGGUAAAGAAGCACCGGCUAACUACGUG
rnacentral:rRNA from 1 species